rnacentral:rRNA from 1 species
CGCUGGCGGCGUGCCUAAUACAUGCAAGUCGAACGCACUCUCGUUUAGAUUGAAGGAGCUUGCUCCUGAUUGAUAAACAUUUGAGUGAGUGGCGGACGGGUGAGUAACACGUGGGUAACCUGCCCUAAAGUGGGGAUAACAUUUGGAAACAGAUGCUAAUACCGCAUAAAACCUAACACCGCAUGGUGUAGGGUUGAAAGAUGGUUUCGGCUAUCACUUUAGGAUGGACCCGCGGUGCAUUAGUUAGUUGGUGAGGUAAAGGCUCACCAAGACCGUGAUGCAUAGCCGACCUGAGAGGGUAAUCGGCCACACUGGGACUGAGACACGGCCCAGACUCCUACGGGAGGCAGCAGUAGGGAAUCUUCCACAAAGGACGAAAGUCUGAUGGAGCAACGCCGCGUGAGUGAAGAAGGUUUUCGGAUCGUAAAACUCUGUUGUUGGAGAAGAAUAUAUCUGAUAGUAACUGAUCAGGUAGUGACGGUAUCCAACCAGAAAGCCACGGCUAACUACGUG